ACCUUAAAAUAUUAUUUUUAAUAUUAAUUAAUCCUUUCCUGAGAAGAUCGAACCUGCUGAGCUGCUGCAGGUGAAGGAGCUUCUACCUGAACAUCUGGAUGGACCGAAGAUGUUGGUUAGCAUCCAACCACUGCAGUUAGCAGUCGUCUGAUUGGCCAGUCUGUUCCGGAGGUGUCUGAUUGGUCAGUGACAGGAUGAAUCACAGCCAUAUUGAGAACUGUAAAACCUCACAACGCCGUUAAACAUCUGCAGACGACACGAAACCCAACACGGACUCACACCUGUCCCAAAGAUGAACACAGGAAGCAGAAACCUGAAGACAGGAAGUGGAGAAAAACUACAAAACUACAAGACUUCAUGUGUGUUCAGACUGAAGCAGCUUCAGAGCAGAAACUCCUCAAAAUAUUCAGUAAAUAUUCUAUUAACUUGAGACAAAAUGCAGCUUCCAAAGAAAAACGAAGUUAAAAAACAAAUAAAGAAGAUUAAAUAUUUAACACUUUGAUGGAACUUCAGAAUUUAAACCUCUGAUUAUUUUACUAAAAGAGUUUGUGGCUGAUUAAGGCUAAAUUCAGGUGUUUUGUAAAGAAUCUGCCCCAGCCCUCUAGUUCUGGCCUUCAGAGGGUUAAAGUUGUUUUAUUCCAGGAGUUCAUGUCGACAAACUGAGUUCCUAAAGUUCUAAACCAGUCUGAGGACCUGCUGCUUCUAGAUCUUUAAUGAGGAAACGUUGAAGUCCAGCUGAUGUCCAUCUGAACACACCUUCAGAUUUCUCUCUGAGAUGAAACCUUUGGAACGUUACUGAUCCUGAACCUGCAGACCAUGAAGAAGUCCAACAGAGCUGGAACCAUCCGAAUAGAGAACCUGCAUGUUAGAACCAGAAGAUCUUUCAUUUGUUCAGCUGAAAGAUUAACGAGGAGAAACAAGAAGGCAGAGUUUAAUGUUGAUGAAAUAGAAAUCAAGUAGUUGGGUUCUCCUGAAGCUCCUACAAAAGAAAAGUCGGUAUAAUCGUAGGAGCUUCAGGAAGAACCAUCUGGACUUCUCUGGAAGGUUCUUCAGCAAGAACCUCCCAGAGAAGUCCAGAUGGUUUCUGACCACAGAAAGCGUCCAUGAACCCUUUAAAGACGUUUAGUUGAUUUCAAGUCAUAAAGUCGUGUUUGAUCUAAACAAUGUUAGAACUUCUCUGUUAGUUUCUUGGUUCUGUCUGUCAGUAGUGAGGACCUCCUCUCCACUGCAUCGUUUUACUGCAACAUCUUGCAGUAAAACUUAAAUUUAAACAUGCUAACACGCUAGCUCCAGACAGUUUGUUCUCCUCAGAGGUUCUUCAGGAAUGUCGGAGGUUCAGGUUCUGUUUGUCUUCAUGGUCUGAUUGAUGUUUACAACAGUUUAUAGUCACUGAGAGCAGAUUUACCAUCCGUGUGUGUGUGUGUGUGUGUGUGUGUGUGUGUGUGUGUGUGUGUGUGUGUGUGUGUGUGUGUGUGUGUGUGUGUGUGUGUGUGUGUGUGUGUGUGUGUGUGUGUGUGUGUGUGUGUGUGUGUGUGUGUGUGUGUGUGUGUGUGUUAUAAUUUAUCAGUACAAAUGUGCCAGCUGGUGUUUUCUCCACAACAACACAGUGAUGAUUCUGAAACAGAACAGGUCAUUCCAUCGAAAACCAACCAGAAACAUCUGCUUCUUCAUCUCCAGUAACUUCAUCAAUGAUCAGAGUUCUACCAGAACCUCCUCAGAACAUCUGGUUCUUCAUCUGCAGUAACUUUAUCAAUGAUCAGAGUUCUACCUUCAUCCUGAGAAUAUUUCCAGAGUUCCAGGUCCUUGAAGUCCAUAGAGGAGAACGUCCCCUGGAGAAAGUUGUAGAGUAGACCUACCCACAACUGUCCAGUUGUCGGUAGGUCUACUCUAGAACUUUCUACAGUUGUCGGUAGGUCUACUCUAGAACUUUCUCCAGUUGUCGGUAGGUCUACUCUAGAACUUUCUCCAGGGGACGUUCUCCUUUCCUGCUUCCAGUCUUUAAGUCUAGUCUCACUUUGAACAUUCCAGGUCCUUGAAGUCCAUAGAGGUGGGUCCAGAUUUAUCACUUUUUAAUGGACUUUUUCAGAACGUCAUCAGUCCAGCAGAUAGAACCAUGACAUUUAGGAGGAGAAACAUCUGAGUUCUGGUAAAAACUGACCCCAGAUCAGUUUUCCAUCCAUCCAGGUGUCUCAGUCUGAAGGUAAUCCAGAUUUCACCAAUUCUGGACAGUUUUUGAGUCACUUUGGACAAAAUUUCACAUCCUUUUUGGAAUAAUUUGGGGAAAUCCUGAGUCAUUUUGGAAGAUUUUCAUCAUUUUUGGACAAAUUUGAAUCAUUUUGGGACAGUUUAGUGUAAUUUUUCACACACAUCAUGAUGCUGCCACCGCCGUGUUUCACAGUGAAGCUGUUAUAUUUCAUCCUGUGCUGAUGAAGUUCUGAGAUUCAGAAAUUAAAAUAUUCACAGUAUGAAGGUAACACUCUGCUUUGGACUUAUUAAAUAUGUGCUUCUGUUUCUGAUAAUCCACCAAAGAAAACUUUAAAAGGUCUUUCUGGGUGAACUUUAAUGUUGGGAGGAGGUUGGUCAGAGCUAUUAGAGAAACUGGGAUCAGCCGCUUGCUUUGAUUCCUGAUCAGGUUGAUUGAUUUUCCAUGGAAUGACCCAUCAGCUGUUGGUCAUGUAUGUUUUUUUCUACAUACCUGGCUGCUCUGGCACUCUGUCAUGUUAUUAUGAUUAUUAUGACUAAUAUAUUCUUCUUACCUACGUUUCUGUGUUUUGCCAUGUCUUUUUAUUACUAUUAUGAUUAUUUUAAUGUUUUUUAUAUUCGCUGAUCAUCACUCGUCUGAUCAGGAGAUCCAAUCUGAGAUGUUUGUGUAGAUACACUAUAAAUCAGUAAAACAUGAGUGGAGGCGAGACAUUAGAACAUUCAUUUACCCCCAAAGACAAACAGGACGUUUACUUACUGUGCCUGGAUUUUAUAUUUUCCUUCAUUAACAGAUCAGCACAUUUACAGCAAAAAUCAAUGCAUAAAGAUCAUCGGGAUGAAGGAAACUCUGCGUUUGAUGCUUAAAGUUUCCUCCAGUAUUAGAAUUAAAUCUAGCAGCAGCGUUUUAAAAACCUCAGAUUCAUAUUUUAAAAGUUGGAAUGUGAAGAUGAUUAAUGUCACAGUUUUACUUCUCUUCUGUUUUUCUGGUGGAUGUUUUGGAUUGAAGGUGAAGAUGUUCCAGUUUGUGGGUGUUAAAGGAACAAUGAUGACUAAAUAAUAACAGAAAAUAGUGUAAAAUCUGGUCAUAAAAGCUCAGAUCAGAACCAGAGGUUGGGUUCAGCGUUCUGUCAGCAUGUCAUGUGCUAAAGCUUCAGGCUGGUAGUUUUUAUAGCAGCUUCUCUGCUUCCUCUCUGCUUUGAUUUUCUAUCAGUUCAUGUUUUUUUAUUGAUUCUUGUCUUUAAAU
ensembl:lncRNA